rnacentral:lncRNA from 1 species
GCAACGAUCCAGUUCUAUGUAUUUCAAAAAUACACCAAUACACUAAAUUAAAGUCUUCACUUUACAUGACUAAGACAACUCAUCCAUUUCCAUCUAACAUUGAGAACAAUAUAUUUCUUUAAUGGGUAAAGGUUCGAAAAUACCCCUGAUGUUUACUCCGAUAUCCCAAUUGCACCCUAAACUAUUUUUUUUCAAAAGUACCCUUAACGUUACAAAUUUAAGGUCAAUUAUGCCCCUCCCGUUAAAAAAAUUGGACGUCCUAAGCGAUUGACACGUGGCAAAAAUAAUUUUUUUUAUUCUUUUCUCUUUCUUCUCUCUCUUUCCUCUUCUUUUAUUCUCUCUCUUUUCUUUCUCUCACUCCUUUCUUCUUCCUCUAUUCUAAAAUAACACAACAGAUCUGGUUUCAUCUUCUCAUAGAAAAAAUCACAGGCCUGAUAAAAUAAUGACCUCCUUAUCCCUACGUGAUUCACCAUCAUGGUUCCCAGAACUGCUCCCGGAUCAUCCACAAGAUCCAUCUACACAAGCAACAACAAAUAUAUAAACCCAGAUCUGGGAGCUCCAUGUCAAUGAAAAAACAAAUAAGGAAAUCUCAAAGUACAUGAAUUCAUAAUCAAAUACUCCAUACGAAAGUAACUAAAAACUGAAAUUACCAAAAAUCGUUCUGUUUCUGAUAACAUGCUCUGCUCAUAGAUGACUUGUGAGAGCACACCAACCAAAAUAACCCCAAGAAUUGGGACUUUGUAAGAUAUCUAAUUUUCUCCAUCUCCAUCUCGACCUUCGCCUUUUCUUUUUCAACAGUUUUUUUUUGCCCUAGGUUCUUGAAGAAUAAUCCUUCGUUUCUCUCCUCAAAAAAUUUGACCUUCAAAUUCUGCUAACUUCUCUUCACUCUUUUCAAGCUCCAGUUUGUUUGAUUCUGCUAAUUCUUCAAAGGCUUGCAUCCUGCAUAGUGAAAAUACCGAAUCAACAGAGUCUGUGGCUUUAUCCGCUUCACGCGGCGGCGAUGUGUGGUCGGCCCGCUAGUCUUGGGACUAACGCAAGUGGAAUUACUGGUGGCGCCACCGGUGGUUCUGGGAGUUUAGAGAGAGAAAUGAGCAUACAAGGCAAAUAGAGAGGUUCUAUGGCAGUUCGGGAACCCAGAUCUGUUUUUUUAUUUUAGAACAGAGGAAGAAGAACAGAGAGAGGGAGAGAGAGAGAGAAAAAAAAAAUAGGGAGAAGAAAGGAAGAGAAAAGGGAGAAGAAAGAAAAAAAGAAUAAAAAAAAUAUUUUUGCCACGUGUCAAUCGCCUAGUAAGUCCGUUU